GGGAAGGCGGUGCUGCGCCCCGCUGCGCCCCACGGCACCAGCCGCUCCGUCGCAAGGAUGCCCGAGGAGUGCUGCAGAGGUGUGGGAUCAGAUGGAGGAAAAGAGGAAGCAAUCCUAAAAUGAAUGGGCUGUCUGGACUAGAGCCACCAAGAGUGAAGUCAGCAAAACUGAGCAGUAAGUGGGAAAAAGAUAAUCCCAGCAAUGGGCAAUCGUGACUGCUGACUCAUUGACCACCCACUCAAAACGGAGCCUGGACUCAAAUGGAAGAAAGAAUUGGACUAAUUAUCAUCAGAAGUGAGAGCAAACUAGCAAAUAAGGAGUUGAGCAUUAAUGGAUAGCAAGAUUAUGUAAUUUGUAACUAAUGAAUGCUGAUGCUUUUGUUUGUUGAAAUUUAUAAAUAUUGUAAAGUUUUGAUUAUUUUGAGCAUUUUGUGUAUUACCACCCAGCUCCCUACUUGGAGCAAACUAGAAUAAAAAAUAUAAAUACCUUGCCUCAAUGUGUGAAUUGAUGCUGCACAGGUAACGAGCCUGUGUUCAGGACAACACAAGGACCAAAGGGAAGGAACUUCCCUGACUGUGGCUUUACUUAGAUGAAGUGUGGCAUGAAAGUGAGGAUCUCCUAUGGUGACCUGAUGAUGCAUCCCUCCAGUUGCCACCGGGAGGCCAAGUACCACACCAGUGCCAGAGCAGACACAGCUGAUAACCCAGCUCCUCUGGAAUGGUGGCGCUCUAUGUAAAUCCCGGCAGUUGCGGGCUCUUUGGGAAUCCUGGCCUUCUUUAGUGUUGACAGUUGUUAGUGUUGGCUGUUUUGGAAUCACGGCAGCCUGGGUUUAGUGUUGAUUUCUGCUUUUGCCUCCAGGUGCUGGGAAAAGAUUUCAAGCAGCAUUUGUCACAGAAUUGCAGAAUUGGGCAGAUUGGAACGUACCACAGUGGAUCUGUUCCUAUUUCCCUGCUCACGCAGUGUUAUCCCAGAGUACAUUGUGUCCAGAUGGUUUUUGAAUAUCUUCAGGAAGGGACACUCCACAACCUUUCUGAGCAAUUUGUUCCAGGGCUCAGUCACUCUCACAUUAAGAACUUUCUCAUAUUCUGGUGGAACUUCCUGUGCAUCACU